rnacentral:rRNA from 1 species
GAUGAACGCUGGCGGCGUGCCUAAUACAUGCAAGUCGAGCGAACAGAUGAGGAGCUUGCUCCUCUGACGUUAGCGGCGGACGGGUGAGUAACACGUGGAUAACCUACCUAUAAGACUGGGAUAACUUCGGGAAACCGGAGCUAAUACCGGAUAAUAUAUUGAACCGCAUGGUUCAAUAGUGAAAGACGGUUUUGCUGUCACUUAUAGAUGGAUCCGCGCCGCAUUAGCUAGUUGGUAAGGUAACGGCUUACCAAGGCAACGAUGCGUAGCCGACCUGAGAGGGGGAUCGGCCACACUGGAACUGAGACACGGUCCAGACUCCUACGGGAGGCAGCAAUAGGGAAUCUUCCGCAAUGGGCGAAAGCCUGACGGAGCAACGCCGCGUGAGUGAUGAAGGUCUUCGGAUCGUAAAACUCUGUUAUUAGGGAAGAACAAAUGUGUAAGUAACGAUGCACGUCUUGACGGGACCUAAUCAGAAAGCCACGGCGAACUACGU